rnacentral:lncRNA from 1 species
CCCGAGAUGGCCGAGGUGGGGUUGAGGGGGUGGGGCAAACAGCUUCAGCCAUUCACAGCCAAGAAACUCCACGCGCCGCCGGCUGCCACCACGACUUGACGCAUUGCAGGAGCAUAGAUAUGGAGCUAUAUUCAGAGGCCAUCUAGCCAAAUCCUUCAUAUUAUAAAUAAAAAAAGAAAAAAACAAAUGAAAACCCAAGAAGGCUGUGACUUGUCUAAAGUCACAGAGAUGUUUCUUUGUUCUUAGGAAUCUUCAGGAAUGUGGCCCUUUUAACAGAAUUUGGUUAAUAAAUGAAGGAGACAAAGGUUCUUUUCCUGUGUAUUUGUUCCCCAUGUUUGAUGGACCACCUUCUAUUUACCAAUUAGAAAUUCUUGGAAUGUUCAAGAGAGGGGCUGAAUAAUGAGCUCCUAAAACUAUUUAUUGAGCUGCCUGACAAGGCUUUGGGAUCUCUGGUCAUUGAGAAAGGGCCACUGACCUAUGCCACUUUAUUGGUUAUGAUGUUGGUGUCAACAUGGAAAUCUAGAGAUCCCCAGUUUAUUUAGUUUGAGUAUAGAAACCCCAGGUUUAGACCUCCUCUCAAGAGAGGUUUCCCCCUGAGGGAAGGUCCCUCUUCACCAGACAGUGAACUUCCUGGUAGUCUGGGUGGGAACAGCUAAUCCCAUCCAAUAUUGAACAUCCCUUUUGUCCCAAUGGUUUCUUCCCCCUAGGCUAAGGUCCAUGACCAAGGUGACCCAGCCCUAGGCUGAGUCUUUCCCUUUUGUGUCCAUUGUGGGGCAUCAGCCCCUCACUAUUAUUCCUGUCUGGAACUCUUCAUUUUCCUUUCUUACCAUUGUAAAGUCAAUCAACUGUGCCUCUAAUCCUAAAGCCCCAGGUCACUUAGAGUGGUAUAUAGGUUCCCUAAGUUCUUUUGUUCCUCGGAGUCCAUCCUGAGUGGGUGGCACUCCCAGGGGCUGGUGACCUGGGCGUCUUGACUCUGUGCAGUCUUGGAAAGCAGCUCUGUUGUUGUAUUAGUAGUGCUAACCCCUUUUCCCUUGAUUAAAGAGUGAUUUUUGACUAUUUAAUAGUUCUGUGUUUUUUCUAGUUGACAUUGGUUUAAUCAAUAAAC